rnacentral:ncRNA from 1 species
CAAUAAUAUUCCUGCUCGGUUUGAGGGGAAUUACAGGUUCAGAUAUUUGGUAUCUCUGCCUGGCUGAGGAGUGCGAAGCUGCCAUCUGAUGGAAUAUGAUUGAAUGGUUUUAAGUCCGAAUCCCUCCUAAAAGG